CUUCAGGUGCCCUUGAAAGCUUUCAUCCUGAAAAUUAUACUAAAGGAGAUCAACUUUUACCUCCACUUAGCAAAAAUCCCAAUCUUUAGAGCACCAGGAUUGAAGCCCAGCUUUACUCAUUGCCACCCUUCUAAGCACUGUCUUGUGUGCCAUAAAAAACUCCGUAAAGGGUGAUAUACCAGGCGAGCGUGGUGCUGAUUCACCUCUGACACUGAGGAGA
rnacentral:lncRNA from 1 species